rfam:Gregarina niphandrodes unplaced genomic scaffold scaffold00166, whole genome shotgun sequence.
GCGCUUGUGGUAUAGUGGCUUAGUGCCUCGUGAACAUCGAGGCGACCCGGGUUCGAUUCCCGGCAGACGCA